GAAAGAACUUGCAGAACUACAACUAAGCUGUUCCUGGGCCUUGUGUUCAAGCCAAAGCUGAAGGCACAUUUGCAGACAAUAUCAUUACAGAGGGGAGAGCUGGACUGACUUAACAAUAACUUGAUGCCUCAAUGGACUCUGCAUACCAGUCUACUGUAAUGUGAAAUAUCAUUAUCUUUGGAAACACCCACCCUCCUCAAGAAAAUGAGGAUGCUUCUCCAGAAACAAGGCCAUUUGAUAUUCAGCAUGAUCUUUAAUGUUCUUCUAUGUAAAAUGUACUUAAUCCACCAUAAAAAGACAGAAAGAAAUAUAAAGAAAAAAAAAUUUUAUGCCUUAUGUUAUCAGUUUAUAUAUUUCAUCCAGUUUAUAUCUCUUCUUCACCAUCUUCUGAGUCCCUCCUUCUUGCUCUUUGCUCAAAAAAAUUGCAGCCUGUAAGAUGUCUCUCUUGAACAGAAUGGGCAAUAAAGGUGUAAUAAAUUUACAUUAACAAAACCCAGCAAAUCUGAGGACACAAGUCAAGGUCCAGAAUGUGGAGAAGAG